rnacentral:tRNA from 1 species
AAAAAAUUAGUUAAAUUAUAACAUUAGUUUGUCAAACUAAAAUUAUCAAAUUAUUGAUAUUUUUUA